CCUUGGUGACAUCCUGCUGUGACCCAGGAACCUUUUGGUGCCAACUGGCAGAGGGCACGGGGGUUACAGUAAUCCCCUGGGUGUGAUGUCUACGUAACAGUGCACCAAAGGGUGGCAUGUGGGGGCUCUACUACCAGCCACUAAUGUACUGGUCAGCUUAGUCACCAUGAAAUGCAUGUGUGGGUAAUGGUUAAGAAGUCCUGUAUCUAUACUGGAAAUUAAAGCCUUGAAGUUUUAAAAGCAGGUCACCAGGAGGUGACAAGCCUUGGCCAGAUUCUGUUCAGGCAGGGGAUAGGUAAUGCUUCUCUUGUAUUGUGCAUUGCAUCUCUCACAGUGCAAGCCUAUCUGCAUGCAAAGCCAGAUGCCAAUUUAAAGAUUUCAAGGUCAGCAAGAGAGGGGAGGCCAAGAACCAUCAACAGGGGGUUUCCUGAUUAUGACCAAAGUUGAAGGUAUGUCUGGGAUUGCAAAGAGGCACGAGAUCUUACCAUGGAGGAGACAAGAGGCAGUGGGACUCGUCUCAUGAACGGAACAUCACAGCUAUGCCUGGCUGUAAUACACUGGGAGAACUUUAGGUGACCUUUUGCUCCAUACAACGUGACAAUAACUAGUUAAGUCAGUCUGGGUCCUAGAAUAUAUGUUAUGAUUUUAUUUUGUAUGUAAUAAUUUGUUUCCAUUAAUUCUACUUCCUUCUCAAUCUCUGUUCUUUCUUCUGGUUACAAGAAGAACAAAUAAUUUAUUUCUUAGAGCUGUGUGUUAAGUGGAGCGGUGAUCCUGAGGUGUAACUGACAAGCUGGUGUAUGCUAUUCGUUUGGGAGUAGCAGAUCUGUGAAUUCUGUGAGUGUCCAGUGGAAGCAGAUUGUCCUGAUUUGGGAGGCCGUAUAAAGGGGUGCGAGAUCUGCUGCCAUAAUUUCCUUCUCAGCUGCCUGCAGCUCAAGACAGAGCAAUUGCAUGCCUCUCAGCCUCUCUCCUUUCUUAAUUUUCCCCUUUAUUAUUUUUAUUUUUUAGUUUCAUACAGUUGUAUUUAAAGGGGUGUAUUUACAAUACAGUUGUAUUUAAAGUGCCCCUCAUGUCCACUAACACUCACUGGGUUAUGCUGAACACCGCAGGCUUUAAGCCCUACCAGAGAUCUCCUCCCUGUAGUGAUGGGCAUUCAAGCUGUCUUUGCUGCCUCAGAGACACCCAUGUCCUAUCUAAGUGUAAGGUCUGUAUGGGAUUUAGAGGCAGGUUGGGGAAAGGCAGAUGCUAGACUGAUGCUCCUUCUAAUGGAGUGUCUGCUAGCCCCAGUGGAGUCUGCUUCCCCCAGCCCCAGACACCAGCCUCAACAUCCCAGCCUGCCUCCCUGGCAGCAGCACCUUCAGAGGCUUGGAAACCUCUUUCUCCUUCCAGAGAGCCUAGGAAGAGGGGUAGAUGGCCCCAUAAAUCCCACUCUAAGGAGACCUCAUGUCUCUCAAGGGGUUCAGCUGAGGCUCCGUCUGAGCUGGUAUUGAGCCAUCAGUACCACACAAGAAGCAGUGUACAGACAGGUCUUCUAACACUGCGGUUCCAAAACUUUUUUCCCUGUGGCCGAUGUGUGCAGCUGCAAUGGGCAGGGUGGCCCACUAUUAACGCUUCUUGAGGAACAGUAUUAACUUUAAUUAUUACAUGUAUAUAAAUUCUAUGUACCCACAGGGAGCCAUCUUUCCUCUCCCCUAUGAAUCCUGGCCUGUCCACCUUGCAGCCUGAGGGCAGAUGCCACCCGUCCUCCCAAAAGCCAGUGUACCCCAUUUAUGCCCAGCAUCCCUUCCCUUGAAGAGCCAAGGCCAAAAGCACUGUUUUUUGGGGGGGAGGCAGCCUGGGUGCUGCCCAUCACUGUUAUUAUCAUUACCAUAUCAUUCUUAUGGACUAUAUUUAUGUGCUAUAGGGUGGCCUUAGCUUCAGUUGUGGGUGUAAGCCAGGCCAGUUUCCUGAUCCCCCUUCCUCCAACCUCCCCACCAUGUGUGAUCCAAGGGAUCCAAGCAGGGAGGGGAGGGAUUUAAAUGUGCAACUAUUGAUUUAUUCUAGCAACUGUUGCAUUGAUGGUGGGAGGGAAUCAGAUCUCGGAAUGCAGGCUUAGGAAGUUUAAGUACAUGGUCUUUGCUUCCUAUAACUGUCUCACUGGAGUACAGUUGUUCCAGUCCUAGUAUUAGAGCACUGUAGCAGGAAGACUGAAUUAUAAAUCCCAGUGGCUGUACCAUGGGAAAGUCCCUUAGUGACAAUGGCAAACUUAUGUUGUCCGUGCACGGCACCAUGUCUGGGGAGUGGGAACAUGGAGGCAGAUUCUAGUUUCUGCAUCCUAGUUCAGAUAAUGUUUGUUAGAAUUUUUUCCCACUUCUGGCUAAUGAUGCUUAAGAAUUUUUCAUAGAGGAGAAAAUCAAGACAGUGAGUGAUAUUACUGGCAGGGAAAUCUUCCAGCUCUGUAUCUUAGCUCUCUCCGUUCAUUUGAUGUGCUGUUCAGGCCGCCAUGGACAAAAUGUCUUCUCGUUGAAAAACAGAUCUUCAGCCAUCGGCCUGGAAAAUUUUCUUUCUCUUCUAAUCAGGGGACUCCAGCAAACUAACAUUCUCCAAAGGUUGUCCCUGCCAGUAAUCGUGUUGAAACCAACAUUGGUAAGAGGCCAAACAAAUGGUAGCAAGCAUGUAAAACUAUAUUCAAGGAUAGAUUUGAUAGGAAUGACUUUCCCAAGAUUAUUAACCACAAAUGAAGGAGAAACUAGAUAUCUGACUUAUAGUAUACAUUUCUGCAGGACAUGGUCAGUCACAUACUGCAUUGUACCUAUAGAAGUUUGCUUUUACUGCACCCUUUUAAAUCUAUACCUGCUAUACUUAAAAAUAUCAGCUGUAUGUGUUGGUGUUAUGUCUAGCUGAGAGAAAACAGGAAGGAGUGUUGUCAUAAAUAUAAAGGGAAGGGUAAACACCUUUAAAAUCCCUCCUGGCCAGAGGAAAAACCCUUUCACCUGUAAAGGGUUAAGAAGCUAGGAUAACCUCGCUGGCACCUGACCAAAAUGACCAAUGAGGAGACAGGAUACUUUCAAAGCUGGAGGGGGGAGAAACAAAGGCUCUCUCUGUCUGUGUGAUGAUUUUGCCGGGAACAAAAAAGGAAUGGAGUCUUAGAACUUAGUGAGAUGUACAGAAUCCGCUCUGGAGCUUCACCAGGUCUCUGUCGAUACCAGUGUAUAACAGCACUCCUGAAGUUCUGAAUGCCAGAAGCCUCACAGACUAUACGUGCAGUUUUCUUUUCUGCCCUGGUAACGGACAACCGAGCUUGUCUCAGAUGUAUUUGUGCACAUCCGUCUAGAAAGAGAGCAAGAAAAGAAAACAUGAAAUUAACAUGAAUCUGGAGCAUGAAAAUUAAUGAAAUGUAGAUGUCAAACACCAUUUAAAGCAAUGCGGGGCAUAAGGACAUCAAAUCUGUGACAUACACCAGCAACACUGGGUCUCAUUGACCACCUCAAACUUGUGGAAGCAGAAUUUGGGGUCUACUGCACCAGACCAAAACGGAGGAACAGUUUUGGUUCCCAAAUGAGAUCUUUUACUCUGGAUCACUCAAAGACAAGGACUUCUAGGCCUGUGGGAGCUACAAGAUCAAAAGUCCUAGCAAGUUCACUAAUGGAUGUGGAACCAGGCGUCAAGAAAAGGAACUCAAGGAACAUCCUAUAUGUUCUUAAAGAUACACAGCCCCACAAACAAUGCAGUUCAUGAAAGAUUUUUCUUUCCAAGAUUUGGAUUCAAAGUACAGUAAAUGGACAAAGGAUGCAGAGUAGAAAAUGUGAACUGCAGUUGUGCAUUAACCAAAUCCCAGGAUAGUUCACUGUGGUUCCUGUAGUGGAAGUUGGUGAUGGCAACAGUUCCUGGCUCUUCCCUGUUAAAGUACCUCUAAGAUUCCAAAACCAUUACUUGAAAUUUUUCCAAAUAUCCAGGCUGAGGCAGACACCUGGCACUGAAAACUUCACACCAAAUCAUUAUAGUUUGGCAGUUAAGUAACUGAAAAGCAGGGUCUUACAGGGGCUGGCGUUGGGGAAACUUAACUUGCUGUGGUGCUAACCCGCUCUGCUUAGAAUAAAAUUCAUUCAGUGUGUUUCAAAAUAUAUCCUCUGCUCUCAGCUCCAAAUCUUUUUGGCUAGGUCAGCGCUGCAGCUGGGAGUGAGCCUCCCAGCCUGGGUAGACAUCAUACUUUAGCUGUGCUCUAGCUAGCAUGUUAAGAAUAGCAGUGUGGAUGUUGCAGCUCCAGUGGAGCCUAGCCCCCUGAGCUGCAGUGUUCACACGGUGAGCUAACAUGAAGCAGUUCAAUUGACCACUAACAGGCCCAUGAAAUACAGUACAUUGAACCGCUGCUGUAACUUAGGGCAGCAGAGAUUGCUAAGCAAAUAGCAGGGAAACGUUGAGACCUGUCCCAGCUUUCACGAAAGAGACAAAAAUAGAUGGUGGGGGGGUGGGAGGAGAUAGUAGGCCAAAUUUUCAGGGUCUUCAACUACCCUAUAACUUUGCAACUACACUGUUGUUGUUGCACAUUAGACUAUAGCAGCGAGACCUGCACAGACGACACAGAAUUGCAGUGCCUAACUUUAGGCAUCCUUCUGCCUAGUGGAAUCCACAGCCCCUAGUAAAGCACCCAGCCUUCCUAUAUAAUGAAUGAGGAGAGCCUGACACCUAGGAAUGGGAUUUACAAACACCAGCAUGCUGAUUUGCCUAAGCCAGCCAGUAGGAAAUGCCAAGGAGGGGUGUGUGGCCUAAGCCCUACUCCUAACAAGGGACUACCGGCUAGCCCACACUAGAAUCACUACAGCAGCGUAGCUGUGCAUGCUUUCACAAAAUAAAAAAAGAGAGCAGAGGUGGUCUCUUAUAUCCAUAGCCCAGUGGUGAGCGACCUCACCCAGGAUGUGGGAGACCUAGGGUCAAAUCCCCACUGUGCCUGAUUUGGAGUAGGAACUUGAAUCCAGGUCUCCCACCUCCCGGGAGAGUGCCUUCACCCCGGGGCUAUGGGAUAUUCUGGGGCAGGGUUCUCUGUCUCUACGGUUUCACUUUGUAUAAAUAAAUAUUCAUUGGGCCAGAGAGUGACUAAGUACAUCAACCACUGGCUUUAGGUGGGAGAUGUGGCUUCAAGUCCCUGCUCCACCUCAGACAGGGACAGGUGAGAUCUAAACAUGACUCUUCCCAUAUUGUGUAGGACUACGCUCAUCACCGGGCUAUGGGCUAUAAGAGGACAAUAUCUUCCUACUCUCUUUUGUAGGGGGCCCAAUCCGCUAGAUACGCACUCUGGCAGUCUUUGAGCAAGUCCACCAAAUCGCUCUAACAUCUGAACUUUAAGAUUUAGAGCUAGAUCCACAAAGGGAUUGAGGUGCCUGAUCUGCAUAUGCAAGUGUCUGUAUCCUGGCCACUUAAAUUUAAUCAUUUUUGCCCACAAGUGACUACACUUGCAGAAUGGUGGGCACACUUAACUGAAUCCAUAAUAGUGUAGGUCCCAAAUUAGAGGCUGUUUUUCAGAAAUAUGAUCCAGACAGUCACAAAAUAAUGAGACAUGGUGGAAACUCCUGCCAUUGCAUUGUGAUUAUUUUAUCAUGUACAUGUAGAGGUUGAAUGCUUUUGAUAGAACUUCAACACAAUACAAAAUUACAUCAAAUUGUGAUUAUUUAAUGGCUUUCUGAAGCUUUUAGUCAGUGGUGAAAUGACUUUCUAAUUAAUCAGGAUUGAGUACCCCUGAAGCAGGUAAGGAUGACAACAUUUUAGACUGGCAGUGAAAUAAACCAGGGUAAAUUUAACUGAGAAAAUAUCUUUCAAGCAUGUGGCAUGAUUGAGACAGAAGGGGCAGUAGUAAAUGACAGCUUCCUGAUCGCAGGAGGUGGCAGAUUCUGCUAGGGACAGGUGCUGACUAGAACGAAUCUUAAUCAAUUCAACUCAAGUAUAUUAGAAAAAGUGGAGUCACCAGGAUCAAACAAGCACAAAGUGUUCUUGUUUGGUAUGAUCUGAAACUAUGAAUCGAUACUACCAAAUAUACAAGAAAUAUGGCUUUAGACAGGCCACUUUUGAAGGAAGAAAAAUGAACAGCUGAGAAGAAAAAAAGAAAAAACUCAAUCUUUUUUGUCCUUCACUAGGGUACGUUGUGGUAUUAUAUUAAGUUUAAUGAUGAUGAUAAACAUGAAGGGCAAAUGUGAUAGAUGUUAACUGAAUUCAGAAACAUGAAUAUAUAAAAAAGUCUGUUUUCUCCAUCAAUACACACAAUUUACUCCAAUUAAUGCUAAUAGGAUUUACAUGAAAACAACAAGAGAAUAAUAUACCUUUCUAGAUUAACCCAGAAAAAAUAUUAAGUUUACAUUUAAUACUCCAAGAAAAAAGAGCUAAGGCAUAUGGCCCAGAGCCUCAGAAGUAUUUGAGUGCCUAACUUCCACUGACUUCAAUGGAAGCUAAGGGCUUAAGUAGCUUUGAGACUGAUUCUGUCAUCCUCACAUUUAGCACCUUACUCUGUGAAUAAUGCCAUUGAAAUAAAUGGGACUACACAUGGAAUAAGGUACUACUCAACUUGAAUCAGGAUAGCACAAUCUAGCUUUAUAAGAAGAGUGUAGGGUCAUGCUGAAAAAGUAUCCAGCACAGUAUACUAGAAAUGUAAAACAGAUAAGAUAUCCUGCUCAUAUAUUAAAGCAAGAGAUCAGCUGAUAACAUUAGCACUGCUUAAAAGGAAUAUUACAAGGACUCAAUGUUGCAAACACAUGCUGUCAGGAACAGUGCUUAGCAUUCUGAAUAGUCCCAUAGAAGACAAUAGGAUUAUUUAGGGUGGUAAGGAAUAUUCCCAGCACUAUGUACUUGCAGGAUGAGGCCUCGAAAUGACAGAAAUAGAGGCAUGUUCUUCAGAUCUUCCCCUACCAAUGGGGAACCACCCAACAAGAAGAAGCUUGGUAAAAUAGGUGCAGUACCUUCCUUGAACCCUUUGAAAAGCUAAAAUCAUUUCUCCACUGCCUAUGGAAGAAGGGGGGAGGGUAGAUCCAUGUUUUAAGCAAAGCUGAAGACUGCUUUUUGUUCAAAUCAAAUUGUGAUCUGGAGCUAUGAUCUCUUUUGGGCUUAUCCUUUGGGAGUCUUUCCAUUGACUUCAAUAGGCAUUUUAUUUAGCGUAUAAAAUUGUAUCUUCUAUUUAAAAACCAUCUUAUUUUAUUAUUGCAAAUGUUUACCAUUUAAAUGGAAUUAAAACAUCUUUCUGUGUUCCAGCAAAAUUAAAGCUCUGUUGCCAACAACCUGAACACUUUUGGGGACCUGGCCCUCCACAGCUAAUACCACUGGAGGUUUGGCUGAAGCUGCCAGAUCUUUUGCCUGGGUAGGGAACAGCAGGAUUAGUAGAAGUUGAUAUUUCCAGAACCAAUACUAUAGGAGAUUUAGACUUCCAGAGGGCAGAGUUAAAGCUACAGAGUUACUACACAUAAUUGGGUUGUAGGGUUACACAAUUUGUAAGCAAAAUACUCUAUGGCCUAAUUUGUAUUGAUUUGAUCUGUUCCAAUCUAUAUGUAUAAGCUCCAGACACUAGACAAUGAUUUUGCUGCAAUGUUAAAACAAGAUUUACAGUGACUUAAUGCACUAUUUGUAUGCAUCUACUAUGUGUAAGUGAGUGUGUGUGAGAGAGAAGUAAAACCAUGAUUUAAAGCAGCCAAAUGAAAUCUAGAAGAAUGUUGGUCCAUAAUGAAGGUUAAAUCAUGCUAUCAAUACAUCUACUGCAUUUCCAGGUUAUAAUCAACAUUGCCUUUUACUCUUAGAUGAAAAUGAAGUAUGAAGACCAUUUUAGUCUUAAUAUGUUCUAACAGUGCCAUUUUAAACGACUGCAUUUCUUAUUAACUCUAGACGGUUAGAAAUAUCUCCAGGAAAAGAAAAAUAGCAAAAGAUAUCGUUCCUCAGUUGUUUACCUGGUCAUCUGUGGCAUCAGAAGGGAUUACUAGUACAGUAUCUCCUCGUUUUAAGUUAAGCUCAUCAGUAUUAGCUGCCUCAAAAUCAUGUAGAGCUUCAACCUGAAGAAAAGAAUACAAAACAUGAGGACGUCAUCUAGGGAAAAUAGUAAGAAAAAUUAAGUAGAAACAAAUUCUCUCUUUCACAACUCACAUUUAACUAUGUGCAGCUGUAUUGUGCUUUCAAACUCUCAAACACGCUGCCAUGGCAUUGCCUCUUUCAACUGAUAUCAUUACACAUACACUCCAUUUUUUUGUUUGAUAUGUUUGUUAAUUCCAUGUUUUUCUAUUCUCUUCCAUGAAGAAAUUCACAUAUUAAAUAUGAAUUUAAUUAUUCACUCAUUCCUUCAAUGACAGGGGGGUACCCUCAACUCACAGGGAUCUGGAGGAUCGGUGAUGCUGCAACAUCCCAUAAGUACUGCUGCUUGGACAAAUCCUGUUGUCCUUAUUCAAAGACUGGCAUAAUUGGAGGCUUUCCUGAGGAAGGAUGAAAGCAUUUGGCCAACCUAUCUUAGGCAAACUGAGUAUGGAGUUAGAGUGAUGCUAAUGCCCUAAUGAUAUCUGUCAUUCUGGGGUUUUGAUCUUAUUCCUGAAGGAAUUAUCUUCCUGAAUCAAUUCUCCCUGUAAAUAAUAGUGAGGAAAAUGGUAUAAUUCCAGUGGUAAGUUAAAGGUGUGGGUAAUGGGAAUCCUGCUGUGUGUACUGGGAAGCACUCUUGUUUGCUGGUAAAUUAGGGCUAUGAUAUUUCUCACUUCAUCUAGUAAUUAUUGACAAAAUAAUCUGUUUGCAGAGCUAAACGGUCCACUUAACUAAAAAUAAUUCCAUCUCCAUAAAUAGAUACCCUAUUCUAGUUUCCUUGAUGGCAACUAAUCCCAUGGCAUCACUGCAGCAAAGGCAGGAAUGGUAGCUGUGCAUCCUCCCUUAACUCACAAGAGUUUGGUGAAAAAAUAGAGGAACACUAUCAGUGUGUCUUAAGUCAUAGUCACAUGACAUGUCUCACUCUGACCUGUUACUUUUAAAGUUUGCAAAGAAUAUUUGUGUAUGAGAACAGAAAAAAAAACAAUCCAAAAUAACUGGGCAUAACCAUGGCUUGUUAUGGGACUAGUUAGACUGAACUAUCCAAAUUAUAAUACAGAGCACAUGAACUUCAUUCGUCUUCGUUCAGCUUACCUACUAGUCAAUCAUUCUGAAAUAAGAAAUAUCAGGUACCUAGGAACCAAGAAACACAAAGGUUCUUAGGAGCCAACACACACUUAGGGCAGAAUUUCUCAGACCUGUUCACUGAACUACAAUGCUUUUCAACAUGAUCACUUUAAAAGAUACUCUAAUAAUACGUGGAAUCUUGGUUGCAUUGAAGUCAAUUGCAAAAGUUUCAUUGGAUUUCAAUGGGACCAUGCUUGUACUGGUAGAUUUUCAGGCCAGAAAGGAACAUUUUGAUCUAGUCUAAUCUGCUGCAUAAUGCAGGCCAUAGAAAUUCUCCCAACAUAUUAAAAUAUUUUUACUGCUCUGAUUAGAUUAGUGUACUUGCACAUUUGACUGAACGCCAUACUUCUACAUGGAUCAUGUUUCCACAUAAAGAACAGUACAAGUUUUAUUUCCCCCUUUAUGUAGAAAAGACAAUUCAAGGAAAAAUAGCUUGACAUUUUUGCUAUAUAACCACACAGCCAUCAGCCUAAAUAACCUGUGCCCUUGGAUAUACUUACUUACACUUGAUGCUAAGUUUAAAGGAAUGUUUAAAAUAAGAGUGACUAAAUACUCAAGUAAACCUUAAAGAGAAAGCCAGGUGGCAUUCCAUGGGCUGCAUCAUCUGCUGACACAGGCUGUUCUUCAGAGGAUGUAGUUUGGGUUUCCUCAAUGGUUUUCUGCUCACUUACAACCUGGGAAGUUUCACUAGCAUCACUUUCAAUGCCCUGAGCGCCAACGUCUUCCACAGCAGCUUUGGAUUCAUUCACUAGGACUUCGUGUUCCUCUCCCUCCCCUUCGUUGUUUGAUGCUGGCUCUAUUACUAGUGAAGGGAUGCUGCUGACUUUCUCCUGGGGAAAAAAAAAACAAAGAGAAAUGUUUUGAGAGUGAUUAAUUGGCCUUAUUAGCACUGACCCCCUACUUGGUAAGGCAACUCCCAUCUUUUCAUGUGCUGUGUAUGUAUACCUGCCUACUGUAUUUUUCACUCCAUACAGCUGAUGAAGUGAGCUAUAGCCCACGAAAGCUUAUGCCCAAAUAAAUUUGUUAGUGUCUAAGAUGCCACAAGGACUCCUCAUUGUUUUUACUUCUAAAAAGUAUGGAACAAAACUUACUUUAUUUGCUUUUCUGUUUAUGAGAGAAAAUACGGAUGUAUUUUCCUCUCAUCCACAGCUGAUCUUCUCAUUGACAAGAGCUAUGCUAGUGCAUCUAGGGGAUAAUAUCCUCCCAGUUUGUGACUGCCAGUCUCCAUUCCUCCCCAUGUCAGUUCUCUAUCUUACUCCCCAUGGAUUAGAACUGUCAUCUAUAAAACAUUCUACACGCUGUUCUGUUUUCACUUAGGCUCCUGUCCAACUUCCAGUGAAAUUAAUGGGAGUACUUCCACUAACUUCAAAGUCCUAUGGAUCAGGCCAUAACACUGCCCUAAAUCAGAAGUAACUCCACUUACAUCAGUGGAGUAACACUAGUGUAAACCUUGUGAGAGAUCGAAAUCAGGCAUACUAUAUUCACUUGCAAUAGUUUAAACGCCAAUUAAAAUUUCUCCUGAUUUACACCAGCAUAAAUGAGAGAGGAGACCAGGUGAAGUUCAUUACAAUCAUAAGAGCCCUAUUCAGACAGUAUUUUAGGCAGCUGUCUGGGGCAUGCAACCCUCUAAAGGCCGCAUUGGCUAGCUGUUCACCUGGCCAACAUAUCCAAUUCAGCCUGGUGCUCAAGGGAAAUACCUCUCCCCCAAUUCUGUAGCAUUGUUCAUUAACGUGUGGGUGUGGGAGAGGUUGUGUAAAUGAGUUCCCCAUUUUCCAAAUCUCAAUCUGUACCUCUUCUCCCAUCCCCCCAUGAGGAAGCAGGUUGAAUGGAGGAUGACCAGGUCUAUCAGUUGCUUAUUUUAUAUAGUCUGAGUUAAAAAUACCCCCAAACCCUUCAUAGAGGAUUUUUAUUGAUGGGUCAGGGACUGUUCUGAGUAUUAUUAAUUAUUUGUACUGUGGUAGCACCUAGGGGCCCCCAGCUUCAUUGUGUGAGGCAUUGCAUAAGCACAUAACAAAAAGCAAUCCACAACCUGAAGAGCUUGAGACAACAGGAGGGUGACUGAAACAAAUGGAUAUGAAGAGCCUAAGGUAAUCAUGACAUGGAAGUCCUUGAUCUCUAGAGUGCCAGAGUACCACUUGGGGUCUUUUCUUUGGUCUCCAGCUGCUAGAAAGCUGAAAGCCAGCCUGACCACACACUAGAGUAUCCUUGCAAUUUAUUGCUUCUAGAGUUACAUGAGAUUCAAGGCCUGACUUUCAGCAGUGCCGGAGGGGGAGGCGGGGGGAGGAGGGGAGGGGAUUUUCAGAGGCACAAAGGUACCGAACUCCAAAUGGAAAUCAGUGGGAGUUAGGCCUUUGCUACCCUUUGUGCCUCUGAAAAUCUCCCCUGUUGAGCACUCACCACUCGUACUGACUUCAAGGGGAAUUACAUGUGCUCAGCAUCUCUGAACACCAGUGCACUUGAUCUUAUUUAUCAUUGGGGGGGCGGGGAGAAAAAGAGCAGUUAGAUAAAAAACACAUUUGAAGAGAAUCAAAGCUCUGUUUAACAAGCCACUGCUCUCCAGAUUUAUAGCUAAUGGAAUGAAAUAGUUUCUGCUUAUCUUUAGGAUUAAUUGAGCCUGUUAUAAACCCCAGAACACAUCUGAGAGUGUAUCUAUCAAUUGUAAAGUCAUCAGAAAUUAUUUUGGGUAUACUGGGCCAGAUUCCCAGCUGGUAUAAAUUGGCAUCGCUCCACUGAAGUUAUGGUGCUACUUCAUACCAGUGUCACUUAAAACAGAAUGGGGGCCAAUAUGGACAGAUAAGUCACCGCUCUCCUGAGAAGGGGUGUUGUGGUAACUCAGGCCAGGAGACAUGAACAGUCCAAUAUUUUCUUGUGUAGUGCUUCAGAAAGCAUCUUACCUGAGCCGCCUCUGCUUCCUUCUCUCCUGUUUUAAGUUUGUCACCUUCAUCAGACGUUUCAGAUGCAGCAGUAGCUUCACUGGCUUCAGUUACAACAGCAUUUUCUACUGCACCAGCAUCUUCAGUUAUAGCUACCAUCUACAGCCAACAGAAAAUGGAAACCGUUCAGCCACAUCCAUCAUUCUGGACAACAGCUAUUCACCAACUGCACCCAGGCCACUUUAAAGAGCUCCAGUCUUUAGGUAGGUAGAUAGGUGAACUGGCAUCAGUUCGCUUUUUUAGAUCCAUUAGACAAUGCAGUGGGCUUUAUUGUGAUCCCACACUGGUUUUAUACCAGGGUAAUGCCACUGAUUUCAAUGGAGCGUCUCUGUAUUAACAAAGUAAAUACAAAGAGAAUCAUGCCAUUAGAUGCUAUUCUGCACCUUAUGAUAAAAGGUGGGAAAAACCUGUUAUGAUGCUUCCUUAGUAUAUUUAGUAACAAAAGUUACUUCUUCAGGGAGGGUUUCCUAAGGCAUUAACUAAAAGAAAAAUGGAUUAAAGGCAUCCUGCUGCAUAUUGGGAUGGCUCCUUACUGAGCACAGAUAUAGAACACACUCCACAAUAAAAAAAAAGUUUUAGAGCAGAGUUUGAGGGUUCAUUUGCCUUAAAGCCGCAUUGCUGGAGGAUUUGCCUUGAGGAGAGGGCAGAAUGGGUCUGCACUGCACUUUACAAAUAGGUUCUGCUGGAGAAGGGCCACUUGCAACAGGGCUGCGGCUCUAUAGGAAACCAGCAGGGGAGGCUGUCCAUGGAACAUAACGAAUGGCUGCUCUGGCCACAUCCCCUCCCCAGCUAGUGUCAUCUACUUUGGGGGCUGGGCAAACGGAAAACUCCUACUCUAAAUCCAAGCAGCUUCAUUAUGGUAUUUCUGAUUAUCAUGCAAUAGUGAAAUUGGGGGUAAAAAUGAAUCACUUUCCCCUCCACCACUGCAUCUAACAAGUUGCAUUUAACAGAACUGGCUUUGGUAGCUAAGAGUCUGAUAACGCUUGUUGCCUCAGAUCAGAUAUCUGCUUCAUAGAUGAGGUUGAUCACAUCCUAUGCUGGACAUUGCAUUGGUCCCUGCCAUCACGAACUCUUAAUGAGACUGGUAAACAAAUUUUUUUUUUUAAUACAGAGGAAAAGAAAAGCUAAAAUAUAUUGUGUGAAUUUAUAGAGACUUUUUAAUUGCAUUCGACACAGAAUCAAGUAUACACUGCUUUAAUGGGUAGCCAGGUCAAAUUAUACCAGCAAACGUCACGGGAUUUGUGAGUAAAGUCUUCAGGUCAGGACUUCAUUGUACUACCAAUUUCAGCAGUCUUGCUUCAAUAAGAUUUAAAUAAACAGUAGUUGUAAAAACCCAGAAAGAAGCUCGUGGAGGAGAGAUGGGGGAAGCAGUGCAUAUUAGAUUGCUUUAUACACUAUGCUUCUAACAAAAUGCUACAGAAAUUGAUCCUAUUAUCUGAUGUGAUCAGAAUCAACACUUCGUUUCUAUUUAUUGGAUUUGUGCAGUCCAUGAUCCAUGAAGGAAGCAUGUUCUAAUUUUACGAAUUUCAGUCCUAAAGUACAGUACACUGAAACGGUCAGACUCGGACAGCCCCAUGUCAUAAGUCACCAUAUGUACAGCAUGCAUCAAAAUGGUCUGAUAAUUCAUUCUUGUGACAGACUAUAACAAGAAAAGAAAGAAAAUCAUAAAUAUGGGGUUUUGCCGAUAUUACAAGGGUAAGUGGCAAAAAUGAAGCCAUUUCUUUCUAUCAUAUCUCAAAAUCUUGGAUUAGCCCCAUAGCUAUUUAGGAUGAAAUCCUAAUCCAUUUAAGUCAAUGGUAAAAUUCCCAUUUACUUCACUGGAACCACGACUUCACCCUAGAUAGCAGUGGUGAAUUACACAGGUACUUGUAUAUUUACAUAUGCUACCUGAUUUUAUAUUGUAAACAAACCCUCCUGUAUACAAAAGAGGUGUAAGUAAGAGGAGAAACACGGCCCAAGGUAUUUACUGCUAGGGGAAGUCUAUGAGUUAAUAGGAUCUAGUCCACAACGUUUGACCUGAAUAGUGCAUGCCAGUUUUCACUAACUUAAGAUUGGUCCCAAUGGCUGGAUUUAAAAAGGGACUGGAUAAUUUUUAUGAUCAUUAAUUAUAAUUGUAGCUAAGCAAGCUAAUAUAAUGCUAUGGGGAACCGAAGCUCAUGCUUUAGGGAAUAAAUCCAUUGCCUGCGGAGGUCUGGAUGGAUUUCCCAUAUACGGAACUGCACAAUUGGCUAAACAAAUAAUGGUGAGUGUGUGGGUCUCUCUCAAGCAUCACAUACCACCUUCUGCUGAAGGCAGGAUACAAGACUCGAUGGAUAGAGUUUGGCAGCUGUUAUACAUUGAACAAAUAUUGCCAUUUUAAAUAUGAGAUUUUUAAAAACUGAUGCAUGUGUGUGACGGGUGAAUGUGCCAUGCAAGAGAGGUUGAGUUUACAUAUACACUAUACUAGAGAGCUCGAUGAACAGUUACAUUUUGAAGACAUUAGUCAGCUUGCACUUUAUGGACAGUAAAGGAUUUCUUGAUUACAAGCUGCUGAAACAGACAUAUCAAGAGUGACAAGCCAAUUGCUCUAGAAGAAAGAUGGUGGUGUAUUUGAUACUAUUUCAACCCUCAGAUUUAGAAAAGUAAGGCUUGAUUGACCACUAUAUUACUCCAGUGUCAUGCCUGUGUAACUUCACUGAUUUCAAUGCAGCUACGCUGGUGUAAAAUUGGAAUAAGCACUGGUGAAUCGGGUCUAUAAUUUUCUGUUUAAAUGGAAAAAAAAAAAUCAGCAUUACACUGCAGGGCCUGGUUCUCCAUUCACGCCAAUAUAAAGCAGUAGCAACUUUCAUGAAGUCAAUGAACCAAAUUCUAUCCUCAAUUACCCUGGCGUAAAUUUGGAGUAACUUUACUGACGGUAGUAGAUUUACUCCAAAUUUACACCAGUAUAACCAAGAGCAGAAUUUGGCCCAUUGGAGUUACAAUCAUCCCAAACCAGCAUGAGUAGUGAAUCGGUCUAUGAUAUUUUAGCAAAUACUUACAUACCAGAGCUUGAAAACUUAUAAAGAGAGGUAGUUAGCACCUUGCAGGAUUGGACCCAAAUUGAGGAGUUACCGGAGUUCACGGUUUCCUUAUUUUUCAAUCCUUUUUCCUAUUUCUGAAUUUAAUUUCCAGACUCUAGUGCUGAAAUCCUCAUGUUGCUUUCACCAUAAUUUAAAAUGCAUUGUGAAGGUUGCACUUUAGUAAAAAAGGAUCCAGAAUAAAUAGUAUAUGUUCUCGCACCCAUAUGAGAACGUAACCUAAAACAGUCAAUCAGAGGGUACCUGGUCUUAAAGAGAAAUUCAAUAUUUCAUUGAACUUUUUAGUUGUUUUUAAUUUGAUUUUAAUCAUAUCUAAUGAAAUGCCCAAUUUGUGCUUUAGAAAAUAAAGUUGUAAGAUAAUUAUAUUCUAACUUCUGUUUCAGUUUAGGGCUUAGCAUGCUAGAAAAAUGGAAUGAUGAAUGAAAGUUU